rnacentral:lncRNA from 1 species
UCAUCAUCCCUCGGCCUCUUGUCACUCCUUCCAACUGAGUUCAUAUUUCCCUAUAGUAUAAUGAUGGCAAAUAAGAAUUCUAUUUUAAACCUCCUAAAGCAGGAUAAAAAUAAUUUUCGAAAGAAGUUGACGAAACGACACGGAAUAAGAUUUCAAAAUGAGCAUGAGAAAAUAAUAACUGACAAAACAGGAAGUAUCCAAGUCUUCUAAAACAUCCUAGAAUAGAAACAAUAAUUUGAUGACGUUUGAACCAGACAUAUCAGAAAUAAUUAAAUUAUUAAAACAAAAUAGUGGACCAAAUUAUUUAAN